rnacentral:rRNA from 2 species
CUUUCAACAACGGAUCUCUUGGUUCUGGCAUCGAUGAAGAACGCAGCGAAAUGCGAUAAGUAAUGCGAAUUGCAGAAUUUCAGUGAGUCAUCGAAUCUUUGAACGCACAUUGCGCCCUUUGGUAUUCCGAAGGGCAUGCCUGUUCGAGCGUCAUUAUCACCCCUCAAG